rnacentral:rRNA from 1 species
UACGGAGGGUGCGAGCGUUGUUCGGAAUUACUGGGCGUAAAGCGCGCGUAGGCGGCCCUGUAAGUCCGUUGUGAAAGUCAAAGGCUCAACCUUUGAAAGCCGAUGGAUACUGCAGGGCUAGAGUCCGGAAGAGGCGAGUGGAAUUCCUGGUGUAGCGGUGGAAUGCGCAGAUAUCAGGAGGAACACCAAUAGCGAAGGCAGCUCGCUGGGACGGUACUGACGCUAAGGCGCGAAAGCGUGGGGAGCGAACAGG